GUCACAGUGGCCGAGUGGUUUUAAGGCGAUGCCCUGCUAUUAGGCAUUGGGAAUUUCCUGCGCAGGUUCGAAUCCUGUCUGUGACG
rnacentral:tRNA from 1 species